UACGUAGAAGACUAGUGUUAUUCAUCUUUAAUAGGUUUAAAGGGUACCUAGACGGUAUAAUUAGUCUUAAACAGGAUACGAUUAUACUAGAGUUAUAUAUGAGGAGGUGAGUAUUUAUGCAGUAGAGUUGAAAAUUUCGUUGAUAGCAUAACGACUGGUAACGGCGAAAGCAACCUUUUAUCUAAUAACUGACGUUGAGGGACGAAAGGCGUCGGGUAACGAACAG
rnacentral:rRNA from 1 species